GUGUCUGACCCUACGAAUAGUGAUGUUUUCGGAGGACGAUGGAUAUGGCUGAAUGCGAGACGAGUUAUGAGAGGAGUUGCCGGUUGGAGAGAGUCAGUAGUCGUUGCGCAGUGCGCGUCCCAUUGAAGCUCCACCUCCAAUCCUCAUUUUCCCUCUGUCAUGAAUAGGCCCGAGUGAGAAUUUAUACCGUUUCGCUCGAUCGAAUGAGCUGGAUUGUGUUGAAACUUUUCUCUGUUGCUGAAAUUUCCAACGAUGUCAUACUCUAACCGUUGCUUUGAUUCCAUUUGAGUUCGUUGGUUUGGUGAUGUUAACACGAGGUCGUACGCCAAGCAGACCUGAAGUAUUCUAUCUUCCGAGCGGGAAUGGAUCGCGAUGCUGGAGUCUACUUACCUGCACGUUCGUGUAUUGAGUUGCUGUUUGCAAAAGCAGAAAUGUGAUCGAAAGGUUCUUAGCAAUGGUUGAAUCAAUUAAUUCUUUACAUAUACCAUCCAAAAUGAAUAUAUAUAUAUAUAUAUAUAUAUAUAUAUAAAAGUAUAUUUAUAUUUUCCAACUUGUUGAGAAACUUUAAAAAUUUUCUACCGCUAAGGUGCUUCGCAACGGCGGGCAAUUAAAGUCGUGGAUGAUCCAGUGGUGUGCCUCCAGAGGUCUUUGCUCGGGUCGUGGCUCCGUUAGAGCUCUAGAACUGUAAGGAUUAAUUUGUACGUCGGCUGGAAACUUAAUUCGCAAGGGAAGAUCUGAAAGUAUACGAUUCGCUGUCGGGACGGAUUGUAACCCUGUUCUCGUCAAGAGAAAUGAGUUGGCGCAGGCUUUUGAAGUUGCUGAGGAUGGGUUAGACUAUGAUGGUAUUGGGGAGGGCGAAGACUAGACUGUGGACGUGUCUAGUGUAGUGGAUGAAGGAAGCACACGUACAAUUGAGACAUUGGAGCUCAUAUAUUUGUGCUGCCGCUUUCAAAUACUAUUGCAAACUCUACUUUUACGUUUGUAGUGAAUCAACUUUGCAGGGAGAUCACGUGUAAGAUUCCGCUGAAUACAUUGCGUCAUCCAAUCCGAAGCACAUGCUUUGCACUGAUAAGAGGUAAAGAAACAUUCACCACACAGGAAGGCAGCUGCAAUGUCAGCUGCCACAACCUUGGUACGAAAACUACUUGCCAAACUACUUUGUAUUAGUACGCGAUAGUCAAGUCUACGGAUUUGGUGUUCCUGGCCGGAGUGCAUUAACGCCAACUAUUAUUGUAGAGGUUGAACAGUUAGAUCAGCCAGGCGACUAUACUACUUAUUAAGCUAAGCUUCAAGUAUAAAUCAUUCUUCCCUGAAUGUGUGUGCAAAUGUGAUUUGGAUUCAUUAUAUACUCGACGAGUAUGUGGUUUCAUGAAGCAGUUCCAGUCUGUGGUUACAAUCUUUCUGGUCUAUCAAAUCCGUACCAGUUGCUUUAUACUACCGAGAAAGGUAUCACUAGGGAUAUGCAAUGAUGCUGACAGUGUAGUUUAGUUGAUUGGCCACUUGCAGUGACAGAUGUCUGUCGAACCUGUUGAUGUUUAAAUUGCAUCAACUCGAUGCGGAUGGACCUGUGGGCUAGCAUAUCUCGGUUUGACCUUGAUAUUUUUCUCCAUCGCUUGCAGGCGUUUAAUCUGUCAGAAGCAUAAUGGCCAGCAACAUGUUGUCGAAGAUUGGAAGAGUACAAUGCUCCGUGAUGCUAUACCUCAUUGGGAGAGUACCAACCUUUGGCUUCAGUGCAAGUUCAGGAGCUACGACUUUCAUUGCUGGCUGUCUCCUUUGUGAUACGUACUUGUUCUCUCGCGAGUUGCUGAAAGAGGUUACCUACUAUCCUUGUGUUCAUCAUGUGGUACUUGGCUUAUCUGUAAAUGAUUUCUUUUUGUUGGCGGGGACUGCUGGAUGGGUUGCUAAUGAUGUGAUGAGCUAUCAAACAUUACAAAAGCCCCACGCUGCGAUGUAAGAUUGAUGAGAGAUUGAGUAGGUUUAUCCCAUAUCGCUCCAAGCUUUAAUAUUCUUUCUUGUACUGUGUUGAUGGCUUUUGUGAUGACACAAAGAUACAAAUUCAUGUGAAUUUGAGCAGAAUGUUGCUUGGUCUUUUUGAUAAUGACUUUGUCAUGAAUGUACGAGUAAGCUAGUCUUUGGCUUAGCUAGCGAAAAGCCAACAUCCAUAGAGGUAGUAGUUAAUUCCUUCACGAAUUCCUUUAAUCACUGUUUGCGUCUGCUGAACACUGCUGUAUUGUGAAGUAUUUGAAGCCCAACCCAGAACCAUGACGGUGAUCCGUGUCAGUCUCUGAAUUGGACAUUGUCAUCAUUCCAUUUGAAGUUUAUUCCAUGUGUGCAGUCUAGCGAGGCACAUAAUUCCUAACAGCUGAUUCCAUUUAACCACUUAGUGGAUGCCUUGUGUGUAACAAGGUAAAAUCAUUUUCUCACUUCCACAAUGCUCUCAUAAGUCCGUGUGUAGAUCAGAAGCGUGGAGGUAUGAUAUUUUCCAGGUUAUUGUCUACAUCGUAGUGAGUAGUGUGCAUUUUCUUCAUGUGGAAAAUGUGAGUUUUGCCCAUCAUGUCGGGGAACAAGUUUUGUUACUAACAGAAAGACAUCCGACCUUGUUCUCUUUCCUCAUGUUGUAAGAUGAAGUGUUCCAUGAAUGUGUGUAAAGUAUCAGCGCCUACGUGGAACUUGCGUUCA